rnacentral:rRNA from 1 species
UACGUAGGUGGCAAGCGUUGUCCGGAAUUAUUGGGCGUAAAGCGCGCGCAGGCGGCCUUUUAAGUCUGAUGUGAAAGCCCACGGCUCAACCGUGGAGGGUCAUUGGAAACUGGAAGGCUUGAGUGCAGAAGAGAAGAGCGGAAUUCCACGUGUAGCGGUGAAAUGCGUAGAGAUGUGGAGGAACACCAGUGGCGAAGGCGGCUCUUUGGUCUGUAACUGACGCUGAGGCGCGAAAGCGUGGGGAGCGAACAGG